AUUUGUAACUCUGUUAUUGAGCUUUUCAGCCACCGCCUCUCUUCGGUCUUCUUUUCUUACCUACUUCUUAGUUCUAUUCGCUCUUCUUAGGUGUGGUGUUAAAUUUUCAGUACCAACCUUCUCAAUAUUCAAUUUCUUAUGAGAGGCACAUUCAUAAGAUAUUGUGACAAAGUUCAUUGAGAGACUUAUUGAGGCUUAUUCCAGGUUGCAAUAUCAGAAUAGUUUUCCUGAGGUUAAAGUUGUCUUGAGUGUUGAUGUUUCUGGUGAAACACUAUGCCAAGAUCGCGUUAAUUUCAGGUCUUCCAUUUGAACUAUGUCCCAUCUCUCUAUUUCAAUACUGGAAUUUUCUUUUCAUUAGUAGCACUAACAAUUAUGCAUUCAAAGCUCCAUACAUAAGUUGGAAAUGGAUGAAGCUUGAUAGAUCAGUCUAACUUGUAUAUUGGUUAAACUAGAAAACUUCUUAUAAUGAGUUACACUACACUACAAGUCUCUUC